ACAGCAUGUCAAUGAGAAGUGAAUCCAGAUUCUGUUUUUAAGGGCAUUAUAUUCCAAGAAAGAUGAGAGGAGCUGACACAUCUGUCUCACACCAGCAUUGUAUCUAGUGUUGUCUAAAGGAGGAUUCCUGCCUCAAGGAACCAGCAGCCUUCAGGUGUGAUCUGAUAAGAUGCAGAACACCAUACGGAGACAUUUCUACUAGGUUUGGUGGGGAAAAAGGCUGCAUGUUUGCUGAGAAUGGAAGUGAUACAGCAGUGCCCACAGCCUAAAACCUAUUAUGUGAUGAAUUAUCUGGAAUAAACAGUAAAGGUAGUGGAA